AUGGACUUGCGAUCGCCCACUCAGCUCAUGGGGUUCCUGCUGAUCUGGUUCCCAGGUGUCAGAUGUGACAUUCGGAUGACCCAGUCUCCACCCUACCUGUCUGCAUUUGUAGGUAACAGAGUCACCAUCACUUGUCGGGCCAGUCAGAGAAUUAGUGAUGAUUUAGGCUGGUAUCAGCAGAAACCAGGCAAGGCUCCUAGGCUCCUGAUCAAUGAAGCAACCAGUUUGCAGACAGGAGUCCCCUCACGGUUCAGUGGCAGUCAAUCAGGGACAGAUUUCACUCUUACCAUCAGCAGUCUAGAGCCUGAAGAUUUUGCAACUUAUUACUGUGGACAGUAUAACAGUUACCCUCCCACAGUGUUACAUCUCAUAACAUAA